ensembl:snoRNA
UGCGAGGGUGAUGAGUUGCACUGCGGUGGAGUAAUCGUGUCGGGUGACACGGACUCCUCAGAAUCUCCCUGAUGACAAAAUUAAGUGCACAGGGGCCAUCUGACUCGCA